AUUUUUGGGAUAUUUUUUUUAUUUUUUGGGAUUUUUGGGAUUUGGGAAUUUUUGGGAUUUGCUGAUUUUGGGAUUUUCUUUUUUGUAAUUUUUUGGCAUUUUUGGGAUUUGGGAAUUUUUAGAUUCCAGAUUUCCUGGGAUUUUGGGGAUUUGGGAAUUUUUGGGAUUUGCUGAUUUUUGGGAUUUUUUUUUAUUUUUGGGGAUUUUUGGGAUUUGGGAAUUUUGGGGAUUUUAUUUUUUGGGAUUUUUGGGAUUUGGGAAUUUUUGGGAUUUCUUGGUUUUUUGGGAUUUUUUUUAUUUUUUGGGAUUUUUGCGAUUUGGGAAUUUUGGGGAUUUGCUGAUUUUUGGGAUUUUUUCUUUGAUUUUUUGGGAAUUUUUGGGAUUUGCUGAUUUUUGGGAUUUUCCCGCAGUUUUCGGCUCCUACACCGACGUCACUCCCCGGCAAUUCUUCAACGUCCAGGUGAGCAGAAUUCCCAAAAAUCCCUGAAAAUUCCCUGGAUUUUCCCCCAGCAUUCCCGGAUUUUCUCCUGGAUUUUCCCUGGAUUUUCCCCNNNNNNNNNNGUGCCGCUGUGCCCCGCAGUACCCGCUCUACGCCCGCGAUUACGUCUUCGUGCGGCGCUUCAGCGUCGACCCCGAGCGGCGGCUGAUGGUGCUCGUGUCCCGGGCCGUGGAGCACCCCGGCGUCCCCGAGCAGCCCCAACUCGUCCGCGUGCGCAGCUACGAAUCCCACCUGGUGAUCCGCCCCCACCGCGGCUUCGACGAGAACGGCUUCGAUUACCUGCUGACGUACAGCGACAACCCUCAGACCGUGUUCCCCCGCUACUGCCUCAGCUGGAUGGUGUCCAGCGGAAUGCCGGAAUUCCUGGAGAAGCUGCAUUGGGGAAAAGGGGAAAGGAGAAAUAU
rnacentral:lncRNA from 1 species